rnacentral:rRNA from 1 species
GAUGAACGCUGGCGGCGUGCCUAAUACAUGCAAGUCGAGCGAACAGACGAGGAUCUUGCUCCUUUGACGUUAGCGGCGGACGGGUGAGUAACACGUAGGUAACCUACCUAUAAGACUGGGAUAACUUCGGGAAACCGGAGCUAACACCGGAUAAUAUUUCGAACCGCAUGGUUCGAUAGUGAAAGAUGGCUUUGCUAUCACUAAUAGAUGGACCUGCGCCGUAUUAGCUAGUUGGUAAGGUAACGGCUUACCAAGGCAACGAUACGUAGCCGACCUGAGAGGGUGAUCGGCCACACUGGAACUGAGACACGGUCCAGACUCCUACGGGAGGCAGCAGUAGGGAAUCUUCCGCAAUGGGCGAAAGCCUGACGGAGCAACGCCGCGUGAGUGAUGAAGGUCUUCGGAUCGUAAAACUCUGUUAUUAGGGAAGAACAAACGUGUAAGUAACUGUGCACGUCUUGACGGUACCUAAUCAGAAAGCCCCGGCUAACUACGUG